rnacentral:rRNA from 1 species
AUUGAACGCUGGCGGCAGGCCUAACACAUGCAAGUCGAGCGGAGCGGCGGACGGGUGAGUAAUGCCUAGGAAUCUGCCUGGUAGUGGGGGAUAACGUACGGAAACGGGCGCUAAUACCGCAUACUAUCAGAUGAGCCUAGGUAGGAUUGGCUAGUUGGUGGGGUAAAGGCCUACCAAGGCGACGAUGCGUAACUGGUCUGAGAGGAUGAUCAGUCACACUGGAAAUGAGACACGGCGCAGACUCCCACGGGAGGCAGAAGUGGGGAGUAUUGGACAAUGGGUGAAAGCCUGAACCCGCCAUGCCGCGUGUGUGAAGAAGGUCUUCGGAUUGUAAAGCUCUUUAAGUUGGGAGGCGUUACCAACAGAAUAAGCACCGGCUAACUUCGUGCCAGCAGCCGCGGUAAUUC